GCAAGUCGUGCGAGAAAGUUCUUCGGAUAUGAGUAGAGCGGCGGACGGGUGAGUAACGCGUAGGAAUCUACCUAGUAGAAGGGGAUAGCCCGGGGAAACCCGGAUUAAUACCGUAUACCUCCUUCGGGAGAAAGAAGGCCUCUCUUUGAAGCUUUCGCUACUAGAUGAGCCUGCGUAAGAUUAGCUUGUUGGUGAGGUAAAGGCUCACCAAGGCAACGAUCUUUAGCUGGUCUGAGAGGACGAUCAGCCACAUUGGGACUGAGACACGGCCCAGACUCCUACGGGAGGCAGCAGUGGGGAAUAUUGGACAAUGGGCGCAAGCCUGAUCCAGCCAUACCGCGUGUGUGAAGAAGGCCUUCGGGUUGUAAAGCACUUUAAGCAGGGAGAAAAAGUUAUAAGUUAAUACCUUAUAGCCUUGAUGUUACCUGCAGAAUAAGCACCGGCUAAUUCCGUGCCAGCAGCCGCGGUAAUACGGAAGGUGCAAGCGUUAAUCGGAAUUACUGGGCGUAAAGCGCGCGUAGGUGGUUUGUUAAGUUGGAUGUGAAAGCCCUGGGCUCAACCUAGGAACUGCAUCCAAAACUAACUCACUAGAGUACGAUAGAGGGAGGUAGAAUUCAUAGUGUAGCGGUGGAAUGCGUAGAUAUUAUGAAGAAUACCAGUGGCGAAGGCGGCCUCCUGGAUCUGUACUGACACUGAGGUGCGAAAGCGUGGGUAGCGAACAGGAUUAGAUACCCUGGUAGUCCACGCCGUAAACGAUGACAACU
rnacentral:rRNA from 1 species